CGGGCCAACACGAACAGGUGCAGGAGUGCACGCCCCCUGUACCCCACCAUUGCAAUCUGAGCAACUUUGCGCAAAUGCCAAAGAUGCUGAAAAGCAGGAAAAGGAGAGGGGCCCACACCCCCAGGGUCCUACUGCGCCCUACACGACGAAGCACUCUCCUCCUGCAUCUUUGGAAGCCAUGGAAAGGGUAUCUAGGGGCUCUCCCACGUCCCCCAUCCCCGUGAUGUGUUGAGCUUUGCCCACUCAGCCGGGAGCCUGGUUAUGUAACCCGCAAAGGGGGCUCCGGACACGAGCUGGCGGGGCAGAUGUAGGCCCCGGGAGGAGCCGCUGCAGCUCCGGGCUCGGCGGUAACAGCCGCCCCGGCCGCGGUGGAGGCAGAGCCGGGAAGCCGGAACCGGGGCCGGCGGCGUUUCUAAGGCUGGAGCCGCUCCCGAGCUACCGGGGAAGCUGAAAAGCUGAAAUGGAAGGGCUGAGACCCCAGCCGCCCCCGCCGAUCGCCCGCCAGUACGAGAAGAGGAGGUCCUUGCGCCCGCCCAGUGGAGAAAAUUGAUGCUCUGGAAGGAAAUACUCAGAGAAUCGGAUCUAGCGUCUCCUAACGCAGCUUGCAAGCAAGCGAAAGGUUGAUGGUGCAGCUCUGUGCCCAAAGACUGAGAAGACAGGAAAGACAAAAGAAGAAACAGCUAAACUUCCAGGCAUACUCCAGGCAGGGGCUGGAGAAGGACUAACAACUUCCCAAGGAAGAGGCUGACUCUGGAUGGAGCCCUCAGAAAUCAGAAUCCAGGAUUUGGGGCUAUUAAGACACUGAAGCUCCUAACUUUUGAGAAUUUAAUAUGCCUUCAAGCAAAGUCCCUCACAUUUGCUAUCUCUUUGAAUGCUUGCCAAAACUCUUUUUUUUUUUCUUUUUUUUAAAGAGAGAGGGAGAGAGAGAGAGAAAGAAUUUUAAUAUUUUAUUUUUUAGUUAUCGGCGGACACAACAUCUUUGUAUGUGGUGCUGAGGAUCGAACCCGGGCCGCACGCAUGCCAGGCAAACGCGCUACCGCUUGAGCCACAUCCCAGCCCCCUUGCUCCUCUUAAGGAGGAGCAAUGGUAUAAUUCCUUACUUCUAUAGCUGAGGCUCAAAGAAUUGUCAAUUACUUGGCCAAAUUUUACAGCUGUGAAAUAACGGUAACAGGAUUUGAACCCAGACCUUGUAGGAAUCCAGGGCCCAAGGACUGACCACUCUGUAAGCCCCUUGCAGGGCUGUGCCAUACAACCAGAUAAUGGAAAUAUUGUACAUUUGCAAUUGUUUUCUCUAGCCACAUCUUGCUAUUGAGCCCCUGAAAUAUGGAUACUGGGCUUAAAGAAUUAAAAUAUUUAUUUAUUUUUGGUACUGGGAAUUUAACAAAGGAGCACUUUAUCACUAAGCUACAUCCCCAACCCUUUUUCAUUUUUAUUUUGCGAUGGAGUCUCACUAAGUUGCUAAGGCCAGCCUCCCUAGUCACUGGGAUUAUUUGCUUGUACCAUUGCACCUGUCAAGGAAUUGAAUUUUAAAUUGUGCAUGUGUAUGUGAUGUGUGCAUGUUCUGAGGGUUGAACCCAGGGCCUCAGGCAUGCUGAUCGCUGCUCCACCAUUGAUCUACACCUGCAGUCCAAUUUUUAAUUAAAAAAUUAAAACUGCCCCAGAGUGUUUUCCAACAUUUGUCUUAAUGUGCUUACUAAGCUAUAUAUACACAUCAAGGUCUGAUUUGGCUUCCAGGAAACAUUUGUGGAAUGAGUGAAAGGUCCAUACGGGAAAGAAGUUACUAAUAUCAGUAACCCCUGGAAGAGGACAUCUGGUACAAUGUGAGUGCCUAUGAUGUUAGCCUUUAAACCACUUACUCUGAGAGCCUGCCAGGAACAUGGUACUAUAUGGGAGCCUGAAGAUACAAGUGGAUAUUAGACUGGCCCACCUGCCCAAAUCUUUCAAGGACAAAUAAUUGGUGAUGAAGCAGGAAUCCUAAGACCUGGGUAGCCACUUCCAGACAUACAUUCCAGGGACAGACCAGGCCUGGUGACUCACACCUAUAAUCCCAGCUGCUCAGAGGCUGAGGCAGGGGGAUCACACAUUCUAGGCCAGCCUCUAUAACUUAGUGAGACUCCAUCUCAAAAAAAAAAAAAAAGAAGAA